ensembl:ncRNA tts-2 ncRNA
GUGAAUCUCAUCUUGGUCUAAUUCAAUUUGAACAACACUUCUGAAUCUUUGAAGCUCUCAAACUUGGCCGAAUCAUCUGCAAUUGAUCCCUGUCUUUUGAUUUUUGAGGAGACAAUUGAUGCCUCUGGAUUAUGGGAACAUCAAAACGACAAAGAAUUUCAAACUUUUAUGAAUAGAAGAAGCAUGUGACGAACAAUUUUAAUAAUCAAUAUCUGCUCUCAAAAAAUUUUUGAAAAAAAAACGAAAAAUAUUUUUGGCGAUUUUGAGGUGAUCACCGUCGUCAUUCGCUGCGAGUGCCCCCGGUGACAGAUGUACAGACCCCUUUCCGCCCCACCCACAUUUCCACUAUAGUAUGUCCCCCAACUGUCCCCACAACAAAACUCCCGUCUUUCUCCAGUUACUCUCCCGGUCACUCCCGAAAACAGUCUCAGCAUGUUCAUUCAAACAUGUUCAAUCUACCCACUCCCCAAGAAGUCUUUCAGUGUUUGGUUACUUCGGUUCCAGCACAACUCUUCAUCCUUCCCCCGUCCCAGUGUCAUUUUCGUUCAUUUGCUUCUUCUUUUCCUAAUUUUUUAUUUUUCAAUCCCGUCAAAAUUUCCCAUAUUUUUAGAUGCUCUUUUGUUCUUCAUGAAUUUCUCUUGGCUCUGUGUCAGUAAACGAUGAUCUGGAAAUGUUCUAGAACGUUCAAGAAACAUUAUGUUGUUCAUAUAUUUUUGUACAAUAGCGCCCCCAACAGUCUUUCAGAUAUUAUUUUCUAGUUAGUCUGCUCACAUGUCUUUCGAUUUUCCCCCAAAAAUUUUCAAAUUUCUAUUUUUUACAAUUAACUUAAAUAAAAUGCUUUGUACAGUUACUGUAUUAUUUAUUCAAAUAGAAAAUUGUUGA